GGGAGCCUUGAAACUGCCAAAAUCCCCCUGGAGAGCCCCAAAACUGCCCAAAUUCACCCAGGGGAGCCUUGAAACCACCACAACUUCUAUGGGGGAGCCCCGAAACCGCCCAAAUCCCUUCCUUGAGAGCCCCAAAACCACUCAAAUUCCCCCAAGGCAGCCCCAAAACUACCAUGGUCCAUCUGGGGAGCCUUGAAACCCCCAAGAUCCCUCUGGGGAGCCUCAAAACCACCAAAAUCCCUAAAAGGGAGCCCCAAAACCACACAACCCCCCCCCCGGCGGCCGGACAGAGCAGCAAGACGAGGAGCAGGGGACGAAGAAAGUCAUCGAGAACCCGAAACCGAGGGGAACGGCCCCAAAACGCGGCCCCGCGGCAAUAAAUAGGGGGUCCCCGGCCCCACGGGGGGGGUCCUCAGGUCAAAGGGGGGGUCCCCAGUAUAAAAAAAGGGGCUCCCAGUACAAAGGGGGGAGGGGAGCAGUAAAAAGGGGGGGGCUCGGCCCCAUUGGAGUGAGCUUGACCCCAAAAAGGGGUUGUCUGACCCCAAAAUGGGGGGUCCCCAGCCCCAAAAACGGGGUUUUUCAGCCCAAAAACAGGGAGGUCCCCGAAAUAGGGGUUCUGGCCUCAAAAUGGAGGUCCCCGGUCUCAAAAAAAGGAAGGUCCCAACCCCAAAAGGGGGUUCUCCGCCUCAAAAUGUGGGUCCCCGGCCCCAAAAAGAGGGUCUCUGGCCCCAAAAAGGGGGUCUCCGGCCUCAAAGUGAGUGUUUUUUACCCAAAAUUGGCAGUCCCGGCCUCAAAACGGGGAGGCCCCCGGCCCCAAAAUGGGCGUCUUGGCCCCAGAAUGGGGGGUUUUGACCCCAGAAGUUUGGUGUGAGCCCCAAAACGGGGGGUUUUACCCCAAAAUGGGUGGUCUUAACCCCCAAAUGGGGGGUCUUGGCUUCAAAACGGGGUGUCUUAGGCCUAAAAUGGGGACGUUUUAGCCCCAAAAAGGGGGGUUUGGACCCCGAAAAAAGGGCUCUAACCCCAAAUAGCGGGGUCUUGUUCCCAAAUACGGGGCUCUCAGUCCCAAAAACAGGCGUUUUGUCCCCAAAAUGGGGCGCCCCCCCCCUCCUUGCCGGGACCACGGCCUGGUGUGGCCCCGCGGCCUCCGUCACCUCCAGGGCCUCCUGGGGGGGGGCUGGGGGGGGGGGNNNNNNNNNNNNNNNNNNNNNNNNNNNNNNNNNNNNNNNNNNNNNNNNNNNNNNNNNNNNNNNNNNNNNNNNNNNNNNNNNNNNNNNNNNNNNNNNNNNNGGGGGGCGAAAUUACCGGGGGGCGGUCCCGGGGGUGCCGGGGCACGGGGAGGCGGGAGCGGAACCCCCCCCCCAAUUUGUUGGCCUUGGGGAAGAGGCGGAAGAGGCCCCGCUCCGAGGCCAGGCCCAGCCCCUGCAGCACCCCAAAAACGGGCCGGGGGAGGCGCAGCAGCGCCCGCAGCCACCAGCGGGCGGCGCGAUGGGGGAGCCCCCCCGCCCUGGGACCCCCCCCCGCCACCUCCGAGCCCCCUCCCCAGCACGGGGGGACCCCCAAAGAGCCCCCCCCGGCCCCUGCAGGAGGCCACCAGGAGGUAGAGGGGGAGGAAGAGCCAGGGGGAGGCCAGGAGGCGCGAGGCCAGGAGCAGGGCGGGGACGUGGAGGGGGGGCAGGAUUUGGGGGAAAAAACGGGGGAUUUGGGGCACCGGCAGGGGGCGGCGGGGGGCCAGGGGGGGCCUCAGACCCAGCAGGGGCCCCAAAAGGAGGAGGAGGAGGAGGAGGAGCAGGGGGAGGGGCAGGAAGGCCGGGGGGGCGAGGGCCAGCGCCAGCCCCGCCCCCAGCAGGGCCCCGCCCCCUCCCCAGCCGGCCCAGCACGGGAGGCCACGCCCACCUGCGGCGGGAGGCUCCGCCCCCAGCUCAGGCUCCGCCCCCAGCUCAGGCUCCGCCCCCUCCUCCUGUGGCUCCGCCUCCUCGCGGGGCUCCUCCUCCUCCUCCUCGGGGGGCGGGGCCUGGAAAGGGCGGGGCCAGUGGGGGUGAGAAAUGGGGGCGGAGCCUCAGCCCCAUAGACGUGGGGCAGGGACCCCCCAGUGCCCCAUAGAUGUGGGGCAGAGCCCCCCAAGUGCCCCCUGACUUACGUCCUGGGCCUCGCUGCCGGAGCCGUCGGGGGGCGGGCAGGAGCCUUCCUCGCCCCCUUCCUCACCCCCCUCCUCUUCCUCCUCCUCCUCCUCUUCCUCGUCCUCUGGCCCCGAGGCGUUGGUGGCACUGGUGGCACUGGUGGCACUGAUGGUGCUGCUGCUGCGGCUGGCCAGGCUGCCAUCCCCCGGAGACUCCUGGGGACACUGGGGUGAGGGGGGGGGGUACUGGGAGGGGACUGGGAGCAUUGGGAGGUGCUGGGAGGGGACUGGGAGCACUGGGAGGGGACUGGGGGGCACUGGGGGGGUACUGGGAGGGAACUGGGAGGCACUGGAGAGCACUGGGAGGCAUCGUAGGGAGUCUGUGGGGUGUUAUAGGGGGGCUGUGGGGCACUGUGGGGGGUUAUGGGGUCUUUAUGGGGUCUCUGGGGGUCCCUAUGGGGUCUGUGGGGUCCCUGGGGUCUCACCUGGGCGCUGUUCCCGUGCCCCCCCCAUGCCGGGCGGCGCCGGGGGGGCUCCAGGAGCUGCAGCAGCCGGG
rnacentral:lncRNA from 1 species